UACGAAGGGGGCUAGCGUUGCUCGGAAUCACUGGGCGUAAAGGGUGCGUAGGCGGGUCUUUAAGUCAGAGGUGAAAUCCUGGAGCUCAACUCCAGAACUGCCUUUGAUACUGAGGAUCUUGAGUCGGGAGAGGUGAGUGGAACUGCGAGUGUAGAGGUGAAAUUCGUAGAUAUUCGCAAGAACACCAGUGGCGAAGGCGGCUCACUGGCCCGAACUGACGCUGAGACGAG
rnacentral:rRNA from 1 species